GAACGGUCGCGUAACACGUGGGCAACCUGCCCUGAAGCGGGGGACAACAGCUUGAAAGAGCUGCUAAUACCGCAUGUGUCUAUUAGAUGGCAUCAUUUAAUAAACAAAGCCGCAAGGCACUUCAGGAUGGGCCCGCGGCCUAUCAGCUAGUUGGUGAGGUAAUGGCUCACCAAGGCUUCGACGGGUAGCUGGUCUGAGAGGACGAUCAGCCGGAUUGGGACUGAGAUACGGCCCAGACUCCUACGGGGGGCAGCAAUUAGGAAUCUUGCACAAUGGGCGAAAGCCUGAUGCAGCGACGUCGCGUGAAGGAUGAAAUCUUUCGGGAUGUAAACUUCUUUUUUCGGGGAAGAAAUAAAUGACGGUACCCGGAGAAUAAGCCCCGGCUAACUACGUGCCAGCAGCCGCGGUAAUACGUAGGGGGCGAGCGUUGUCCGAAGUUACUGGGCGUAAAGAGCGCGUAGGCGGGUUCUUAAGCGAGGGGUGAAAUUCCGGGGCUCAACCCCGGAACUGCCUUUCAUACUGGGAACCUUGAGUGUGGGAGAGGCGAGUGGAAUGGUCGGUGUAGCGGUGAAAUGCGUAGAUAUCGAUCGGAACACCCAUGGCGAAGGCAGCUCGCUGGCCCAUAACUGACGCUGAGGCGCGAAAGCGUGGGGAGCAAACAGGAUUAGAUACCCUGGUAGUCCACGCCGUAAACGAUUAAUACUAGGUGUCAGGGGUAUC
rnacentral:rRNA from 1 species